rnacentral:misc_RNA from 1 species
AACGCACCUUGCGCCCGUUGGUAUUCCGACGGGCAUGCCUGUUUGAGUGUCAUGAAUUAUCAAUCCCUCGGGUUUUGUAACGAAACCCGUUGGACUUAGACUUGGGUGUCUGCCGGGUUUAAACCGGCUCGCCUUAAAUGUGACAGGUGGUUGGCUCUUGACCCAGUGAUCAGCGUGAUAAGUCGUCGCUGGUUCCGUGGUCUUGAGCCCUGCCUCAUAAACCGUCCCUUUGGGGACAAAUUCAUUCGAUCUGACCUCAAAUCAGGUAGGACUGCCCGCUGAACUUAA